CAGGCCCUCACUGAAGACCUCCAGUUCACUGUAGCUGCUGGUUUCAAGCAGGAGCCCAAAGGAAAUUGCUCCCGCUCCAUUGGCGCUCCCAGCCCAUGGAAUUGCCAAUUCCUGCAGGAGCAACAGCA
ensembl:snoRNA